rnacentral:rRNA from 1 species
UGGGGAAUAUUGGACAAUGGGCGCAAGCCUGAUCCAGCCAUGCCGCGUGAGUGACGAAGGCCUUAGGGUUGUAAAGCUCUUUUGUCGGGGACGAUAAUGACGGUACCCGAAGAAUAAGCUCCGGCUAACUUCGUGCCAGCAGCCGCGGUAAUACGAAGGGAGCUAGCGUUGUUCGGAAUCACUGGGCGUAAAGCGCACGUAGGCGGAUUUGUAAGUCAGGGGUGAAAUCCCGGGGCUCAACCUCGGAACUGCCUCUGAUACUGCGAAUCUCGAGUCCGGAAGAGGUGGGUGGAAUUCCUAGUGUAGAGGUGAAAUUCGUAGAUAUUAGGAAGAACACCGGUGGCGAAGGCGGCCCACUGGUCCGGUACUGACGCUGAGGUGCGAAAGCGUGGGGAGCAAACAGGAUUAGAUACCCUUGUAGUCCCUGAGCGGGCUGGCAAGGCGCAU